GACGAACGCUGGCGGCGUGCUUAACACAUGCAAGUCGAACGGAAAGGCCUGCUUUCCCUUGUGGAUUGCGGGUACUCGCGUGGCGAACGGGUGAGUAACACGUGAGUGAUCUGCCCCCAACUUGGGUAUAAGCCUGGGAAACUGGGUCUAAUUCCCGAUAGGACUGCAGGGUGGUGCCUGUGGUGGAAAACGAUUUUCUAGUGGUUGGGGAUGAGCUCGCGGCCUAUCAGCUUGUUGGUGGGGUAAUGGCCUACCAAGGCGGCGACGGGUAGCCGGCCUGAGAGGGUGGACGGCCACAUUGGGACUGAGGUACGGCCCAGACUCCUACGGGAGGCAGCAGUGGGGAAUAUUGCACAAUGGGCGGAAGCCUGAUGCAGCGACGCCGCGUGGGGGAUGACGGCCUUCGGGUUGUAAACUCCUUUCGACCGCGAGGAAGCCACCUGGUUGGAAGGGUGGUGACGGUAGUGGUAGAAGAAGCACCGGCUAACUACGUG
rnacentral:rRNA from 1 species